AGUGAACGCUGGCGGUAGGCCUAACACAUGCAAGUCGAACGGCAGCACAGUAAGAGCUUGCUCUUACGGGUGGCGAGUGGCGGACGGGUGAGGAAUACAUCGGAAUCUACUUUUUCGUGGGGGAUAACGUAGGGAAACUUACGCUAAUACAGCAUACGACCUACGGGUGAAAGCAGGGGAUCUUCGGACCUUGCGCGAAUGGAUGAGCCGAUGUCGGAUUAGCUAGUUGGCGGGGUAAAGGCCCACCAAGGCGACGAUCCGUAGCUGGUCUGAGAGGAUGAUCGGCCACACUGGAACUGAGACACGGUCCAGACUCCUACGGGAGGCAGCAGUGGGGAAUAUUGGACAAUGGGCGCAAGCCUGAUCCAGCCAUACCGCGUGGGUGAAGAAGGCCUUCGGGUUGUAAAGCCCUUUUGUUGGGAAAGAAAAGCAGCAGGUUAAUACCCCGCUGUUCUGACGGUACCCAAAGAAUAAGCACCGGCUAACUUCGUG
rnacentral:rRNA from 1 species